AUUGAACGCUGGCGGCAGGCCUAACACAUGCAAGUCGGGCGGAGCGGCGGACGGGUGAGUCAUGUAUGGGGAUCUGCCUGAUGGAGGGGGAUCACUACUGGAAACGGUAGCUAAUACCGCAUACCAUCCACUGACCCCAUAUGGGAUUAGCUAGUUGGUGGGGUAAAGGCCUACCAAGGCGACGAUCCGUAACUGGUCUGAGAGGAUGAUCAGUCACACUGGAACUGAGACACGGUCCAGACUCCUACGGGAGGCAGCAGUGGGGAAUAUUGGACAAUGGGCGAAAGCCUGAUCCAGCCAUGCCGCGUGUGUGAAGAAGGUCUUCGGAUUGUAAAGCACUUUAAGUUGGGAGGCGUUACCAACAGAAUAAGCACCGGCUAACUUCGUGCCAGCAGCCGCGGUAAUUC
rnacentral:rRNA from 1 species